ACGGAAGGCAGCAGUGGGGAAUAUUGGGCAAUGGGCGAAAGCCUGACCCAGCGACGCCGCGUGAGGGAAGAAGGUCUUCGGAUUGUAAACCUCUGUAGACAGGGACGAAGAAAGUGACGGUACCUGUAAAGUAAGCCACGGCUAACUACGUGCCAGCAGCCGCGGUAAUACGUAGGUGGCGAGCGUUAUCCGGAUUUACUGGGUGUAAAGGGUGUGUAGGCGGAGAAUCAAGUCAGAUGUGAAAAUUACGGGCUCAACCCGUAACCUGCAUUUGAAACUGAUUUCCUUGAGUGUGGGAGAGGUAAAUGGAAUUCCCAGUGUAGCGGUGAAAUGCGUAGAUAUUGGGAGGAACACCAGUGGCGAAGGCGGAUUACUGGACGACAACUGACGCUGAUACACGAAAGCGUGGGGAGCAAACAGGAUUAGAUACCCUGGUA
rnacentral:rRNA from 1 species